CGUCCAGUCGACACAGCACAGUUCCCAGGACGGGGCGGUGCUGCAUCUCAGGGGCGGAACCUGCUGGGCCCCAUUUUCAGAAAUCAGCGGAGCAGAAAGAGAAGAGGGCGCGUUUCCUGCUUCUCCUCUGGGCACAGUCCUCAGAGCGACGCCGGCCCAGGCCCUGUGGGGCGGGACUUGCAGCUGGCGGUCAGCCAGGGGGUGGGGGUGGGGCUGAGGGCUUGUCCCUCCAGGCAGACCCGCUGCAGCCCGGGUGGGCUCCCCGCAAGGGGUGUUCCACCCGCCUAACCCCGUUCCUCCCCUCUCUCCAACCAAAGCUUCAGGGAAGUUCCUUUUACACCGUCCUGCCCCUCUGAGGCCUAGGUAGGCACAGGACGGCUCUGAGUGGUUUCCAGGUGUUUUCACCUGAGCACACCUGUCCGCCGGUGUGUCCUGGAGGCUAAACACCUUCAUCCGAGGCUCACCCCGAAGGCGACACCCUGGGUCCUGGUGAGACACCCCGCGGGGCUCAGGCCCCCACGGCCGCUGGUUAACCCGACGGCUGCUCCUUUCUGACUGUGCUGCAUGGCGCACACAGCGCAUUUUCUGCAGGACGGUCCAGUGGGUGAGGCUUUCAGUUAUAGAACAGGGUAAUCUGGAAGCUGUCUUUUCUGUCAAAACAAGGAUUAUACAACCUCGCAGUGAUGAUUCCUCAGUUUCAGAGUUUCUUUUUUUUUAACUGAGUGCUGCUUUUCUGUGUCUAACCACGUCUGGACUGCCAGGCCCUCACCACUGCAUAUGGGAAGCAUGCCUUUUGAAAAGUUUCUAACGGUUUUGAUUACACACUGAGGGACAGGAGGGAGGGGUGGCCUCCCGGGACCCAGCAGCAUCGCUCCUUAGCUCACCAGGGAACCGGCUGGAGUGGACGGGCCCGUCUGCAGCGUGCUGGGUGGGAGGGCCAGGGGUAUGUCCCGACGCGGUGGGAGUGCUGCUGGGAGGGUCACUGCGGGGCCGCAGUCGGGCAGGCCCCCACCCCGGCCCCGACUUCGGCAGAACCAGGUCCAUCUCUGAAUCCAGCCGCUCAGGGUGUUCCGUGCUGUGCUAAAAUUUACUGAGCCACGGAAUCUUAGGUUCCUUCCCGAAAAUGGCUCUCAGGGGUUUCCCUGCAUGAGGGUGUGUCAGGAUGGGCCCUCCCUCUGCCAACAGUGGUAGCUUUCGGUUCCCACCAAAUUUCGCCUGCUCCCAGGGUGAAUUCCCAGCCCUUCUUGUCAUUCUUCUUGAAGAUGCCGUUUGUGACUCUGCUUGUGGAGAGCACAGGGCGGGCCUGGGCUUCGGGUGUUACGAAAACACCCGGGUUUUCGGGUGUGCCAGGAUGGCCAGCGCCACAGCGGACGGGGCAGCGACUCCACCUGUGGUUUGUGAUGCUGUGCAAACUGGCCGCCUUGCCUGACCUUUUCUCCAUGGAAUGAAGUCACCUGAGGGUCGCGUCCCUGCAAGUACACGGUCGGGUCCGGAUGAUUGAGGACCGUGUGGAAUUCACGUGCAGGGGUGGGGCCUGGGCUGCAGGGUACCCCAGGCCGAGGGAAGGGGGUCAUUUUACGUCCAAACCCUGACGCAGGUGUGGCGUCGCACCCUUCUCACAGGCCCAGGACGUCUUCAACAGACGAAGCUCUGGCUUUCAACCUGCCCCCCUCAUGCCCCCUCCCCGCAGCUCAGGGCCGGCCCCUGGGACGUGGGAGCAUGCUCCCAACGCAGCCAAGCUCAGGCUCUGACCGGGGUGGGGGGCGGGGUGUCACACGCAGGUGUGACCUGCUCAGGGAAGGCUGCCCGGAGGAAGAGGCCGCCGUGGGAGGCUGGGGGGACGAGGCUCCCGCAGGACUCAGGGCAGCACCUGGCAGGCAGGGGUCCGGGGCCCCGUCAUCCCGUCCACAGCCAGGACCCUCCCAGGUCACAUGUCGCAGGGGUGUGGGUGCAGGCCAGGGAAAGGCACCCACGGGCAGAGUGUGCGCGAGGUUUUACCAGAACGCGGCCUUGUCUGGCUCUUCUUGCAUUCGCUGUGGCCGUUGUCCGCCCACAUCAGGAUGAGCGGUCAUGGCAGGGACAGCCUGGCCGCAAACUGCAACAGCUCUGGGGCCAGCCCUGCACAGGCGUCUGUGGGUCUCCCGGGGCACCACUAGGGAUAAGCAGGGUCCUGGCUGGCAGCAGGCGGCUGACCCCCACCAAAGAUGGACGAAAGGGACCUUGAACAGUAGGGCCAGCGUCCAGGUGAGAGCAGGUGCAGGUGGGGGCCGGGCAGCAUCACAGAGGCACGUGGGAAAGCCCUCACGUGCAGCAGGUUUGUGGCGCCCAGACCACCAAAGCCGAGGCUUCUGUGCCCGCCGUCCGCACCGGGCCCUCAGCAGAGGGGUCUCGGUCUCCUGGGACCCUCCCAAGGCGUCUGUGCCCCUUGGAGUUGAGAGGCAGUGCGAUGCUCCCCGCUGGGGGGUUGGGGUCAUUUCUGGACAAAGUCCCUAGAAUCGGUGCUUUUGCAACUCCUUUCCUGGAGGAAGCCCACAGGCUCCCUCGGGGAACCCAAAGCCGCUCAGGGGACGCUGCCCGGGCCCCUGCUAUGUGUCACUGUGACCUUUCAGCUCGGGAGGGUCUGCGGGGCUGAGGGGGAGGGGCCAUCCUUCCCCCUCCCCUGCCGGAAUGUCUGCGCUGCAAACAGGAACUUCGCCUUCUGGGGUCAGCUGACUCCUGGAAACGGCAGCACCGGGCCACGCAGUGCUGACCAAGGCCAGGAUGUGGACGCGUCCGGUGUGAGGGGGCGGCUGGGGCGUGGGCAGGAGGCCGCCUUGUGGCCUUGAGACACCGUCCCCCCGACUCCAGUCCUACCCUUGGGGCGGAGACGUCGCCCCUUCAGCCACUGGACCUGUUCUGCUGGGAGGGCAGAGCCCCAGGUGACCCCGCCCAGGCUGGCUGUCCUGCCUGGUUGGAGAACCACAUGUAAGACCCCGGGCCUUGCGCUGGGACUGCACUGAGUAGGGCUUUCGAUGAACUGGGCGGACCCUGAGCAGCGGAGUCUGGGGGCCCUGCCGGAGGCCCUGACGUGGUUCCCAGACCUGUUUGUGACGGGCGCUGCCCCCCGCCCUGCCACCGGGAAAGUUCCUGAAAGUUUACGCCCCUCCAUCCAGGAGCACCGCCGCUUCUCUGUAACCAGGAUUAUCAACCCUCGAACGUAGAGGAGAGUCUGGACCGCGGGUCUUUCGUUCUGCUGGCUCUUUGACUUCCGACUUCCUUGGCUCGACCACCGGUUCCUGGCCAUCGAGCACGUGCAAAGCCAGUGUCCAGCGCUUUCUUCCCUGGAGCUCAGGCCAGCAGCCCUGCCCCUAGUCCUGGCGCUCUGGCCAGAUGCUGUCUUUGUCUGGUCUUUUCCCCUCCUCCUUCAGAUGCUCGGCUUGGUCUGCAGGUCCAGGCUUGGCGUCCAGGACACACAGGCCCACGAGGGCCGCCUGCAUCCCCAGACAGAGCACGCACAGCUCCUGCUGUCCACCCAGGGCCUGGCGACCUCCUGGCAUCGGCACAUUGAGGUGGGUCUGCCCCCAUGGAAACCGGCACCCUCGCCAAGUGGCGGACACCUCCGUCCAGGAGCCCUUCCUGAUUUCCCCCACUCCUGGAAGCCUCUGGGGCGAGGGGAGCUGCCAUCUCUCCACCCUCUCUGCCCAGCGCCCUCCCUCCUGGAGAGGCAGACCCUCUAGGAGUGAGUCUAAGCAUUGUAGUUCCUUGUCCAGGGCCACAGCCAGGUCACAAGGGCACAAGGAAUGUCAUCACACCCACCCUGUCCACAGGGGGCUGAUUCACUCUUGUUCCCAACGGCUGGGGUGCUGGUCUGAGGACCCCACAGUUCUCUGCCUUUGAGCUUUUUAGGAAGCCCGUGCUGUCUGGGGGUGGACGUCCCUCUGGCCACCUCUACUCAAGUGCAGCAGGGAAGGGGGACACCCAGAGCAGACCCAGUCCCUCCGGCUGCAUCCGAGCCAGCUGUCUCUGAGUCAUCGGCCUACGGGUGACCCACCGUCCCCUAAGCUCAGGUCGGCAACUUCCCUCCCAGCAGAAGACAAACGUGAAAUACCGUACGUCAAAAUUUGGAGAAGUAAUUUCUGAGACAAGAUUGAGUUUUUAAAGAUUAUAGUUUGGAGAACUCAGGUGCAUCUAGAAUUUUAACCGUUUCAGAUUGCGGUGUUUUAUUCUACCUGUGAAAUACCAUCAGUGCUCCACUUUCAUUGUUAUUUUAACCAGGAGCUUCAUCUAUGUGAAAUAAAAUUCAUAUUUUAUGGCAAGACUGGAAAAAUUUAAACAUAAGAAAUUUACUCUGCCCUUUGACCUCCCCUCUCCCCCAACUACGCAUCUUGUAUCUGCAUUAGGGAUGACCACAGCUCCCCACCGGCAGACACACCUGCUCGUCCGCGAGGAGCGACAUCCUCCCAGCACCAGCAAGACAGCCCCUUAAAGAAAACAUUCCUUCUUGAUCUUUUAAGGGGCCACAAUGACACUUAGCUCUAGACCGUGUAAACUGUCAAUAAUACGUCAUUUAAUGUACAGCCCUCUGUCUCAAAAAACUUAAACAACUGUGCCUGGGCUUCUAAUGGGUGGAACAAUUUUGGAGCUUUCUGAGAGGCUGUUCUUGGGUUAGAAGCCUCAGUUUGGCUCGAAUAAAAUUUUUCAUUUCUCUCUUA